rnacentral:ncRNA from 1 species
AAGUAUCUCCGAAUCUUGCCUUCGAUGGGGGAGAUAGGAGUAACGGCUGGUUGGCACAGCCAUCGACGUACCUGUUUGACAAGGAAACUGGCGCAUUCGCGCCUCAAGAACGGGUCACGUCGUAAACCACAAUAUCCCAAUGCGGUCGGGAAUCCUCGCGCUUCAGCGCGGGGA